rnacentral:sRNA from 3 species
AUAUCUCUCUGUACGGGAAGGAUGAGAAGCUUCGACUAAGGUUCGAUUCGAGCGCAGCGAGAAAGCGUUGCCGCA